UGAUAUGGGGCUUUGUCGGUUUUUGGAGAAAGUUAUUUGUUAAUUUCAGAGCAAUUGGUUAUAAGAAGGAUACAUCUGAAAAAAUCAAUAUAGAAAUGUUUUCCUUCCUGCAAUUUUUUUAAAAUAAUUUUGUUAAAGUCUGUUCAACGUGAUCAGAGUUGUAUGCCUAAAUGAAUACAUGGUACAAAUAAAUGGUGGUUGAUUAA